rnacentral:rRNA from 1 species
UACGUAGGGUGCAAGCGUUGUCCGGAAUUAUUGGGCGUAAAGAGCUCGUAGGCGGUCUGUCGCGUCGGCUGUGAAAUCCCGGAGCUCAACUCCGGGCCUGCAGUCGAUACGGGCAGACUGGAGUUCGGCAGGGGAGACUGGAAUUCCUGGUGUAGCGGUGAAAUGCGCAGAUAUCAGGAGGAACACCAAUGGCGAAGGCAGAUCUCUGGGCCGUAACUGACGCUGAGGAGCGAAAGCAUGGGGAGCGAACAGG